rnacentral:miRNA from 1 species
AUUCUUUGUAAGAAUGAUGAACUGAGAGAGAGAAUGAAAUUAUAGAAAAGUGCCUGUAAGCUAGGUUUUGGAAAAAUUAGAAUAUUCUCAUUAGAUUUUGUAUGUAUUGACGAUUAGAAACACAUACAGAAUUUAUAUGUAAGAAAUAUUCUCUCUCUCAGAUCAUCAUUCUUGCAAAUUAAAU